GGGCUUGUGGUGUAACGGAAGCACACUUCCCUUGCAAGGAAGCGAUCAGGGUUCGACUCCCUGCUGGUCCACCG
rnacentral:tRNA from 1 species